rnacentral:rRNA from 1 species
UGGGGAAUUUUGGACAAUGGGCGAAAGCCUGAUCCAGCAAUGCCGCGUGUGUGAAGAAGGCCUUCGGGUUGUAAAGCACUUUUGUCCGGAAAGAAAUCCUUGGCUCUAAUACAGUCGGGGGAUGACGGUACCGGAAGAAUAAGCACCGGCUAACUACGUGCCAGCAGCCGCGGUAAUACGUAGGGUGCAAGCGUUAAUCGGAAUUACUGGGCGUAAAGCGUGCGCAGGCGGUUUGCUAAGACCGAUGUGAAAUCCCCGGGCUCAACCUGGGAACUGCAUUGGUGACUGGCAGGCUAGAGUAUGGCAGAGGGGGGUAGAAUUCCACGUGUAGCAGUGAAAUGCGUAGAGAUGUGGAGGAAUACCGAUGGCGAAGGCAGCCCCCUGGGCCAAUACUGACGCUCAUGCACGAAAGCGUGGGGAGCAAACAGGAUUAGAUACCCUGGUAGUCCACGCCCUAAACGAUGUCAACUAGUUGUUGGGGAUUCAUUCCUUAGUAACGUAGCUAACGCGUGAAGUUGACCGCCUGGGGAGUACGUCGCAAGAUU